rnacentral:hammerhead_ribozyme from 1 species
AUCCAGCUGAUGAGUCCUAAAUGGGACGAAACGUACGUUGUGAAU